UUGAACUGUCUUGGCAGGCUGCAGAUGCACAUGUUGAAUGGAGCGUUAUUGGCAUUGCUAUUUCCUGUAGUUAAUACCAGGCUGCUCCCCUUCGAGAUGGAGGUCUACUACAUCCAACACAUCACACUAUACAUUGUACCAAUCUAUCUGUUGCAGAAAGGGGCUGGACAAACCUAAACUUG